AUGAUCCAGUGGUCACUUAACAUAUGUUGCAAUCAAAGACACAAGAUUUUGUAUCUUCAUUUUCAGUUUUUUAAAAUUUGGUCUGGAGAAGCACACACAACUUUGAAAACAGCUCUCCAAAGGCUCUUUCAACAGAAACAUCUGUCUGCCAUGAUCCAUGGUCAUAGGAUGAAGUGACUUCUGCAGUGGACUGAACACAUGUUUACCUACCUGUAAACUCAUUGCAUUCCCAAAUCGAUAUUUCUCUCCCUUAUGAAAAUUGAGUUUGGAGGUCCAGCUGGCAGGCAGGAUGUAGAUGUGAUUAUCAGUAGCAACAAGGCCAUGUAGAGGUUGGGUAUAACCCUGUUACAUCCUCCCUGCCUCUCUGCCUCCUAGCCUGGCCUCCCAUCCCUGCCUCUCUAGCUCCCUGCCUGCCUCCCCUCUCUGCCCUGGGCCCCCUUCUGCUUUAUUGGACCACAAUCAAUAUGGAGACCUGGUGAUGAAGUACUUCAUUAGUCUGGGGCCUGGGCUACGGUCUUCAUCUCACCAUCCUACCGCUAUGCCAAAGAGCACUUCUGCUUUAACUUGACACUACUUAUACUCUCUGUUAAUAAGGAGGAUGUGGUUGAGAUCUCAUUAUGUUGUACAAUCAUUCAAAAAACAGUUGGGUGUACAAGAGGAGUAAAUGCACAAUUAUGAGUUAUAGAUAUCUAUGGCCUGUGGUAUCUAUGAUAGAGAGCGAUACAUUUUAAAGAGGAUUUUUGGGGAGCAUUUCAAUCCCACAUUUGGGCAGACGAGGAAUCUCUGGAUGUUGUUUCUGUGGCUGUAUGUUGUAGUCAGUAAACUGUAAUCAGGUUGUCACUGAAUCAUAACUGGAUGUUAGCCAGGAAGCACAGUCACAUACUGUAGUACUCCAUCCCUUCUGAUAACAUUCCCCCUGCUGAUUGAUUGAAUUAAAGCUCACUCAGGGCUCAUUUCAGUGAACUAGUUAUCUGAGGGGGAGAUCUGUAACAGACACAGUACUAAUGACUAAAGGUUGUGUGUGGGGCUGAGGGGAUGAAUGCAUUUAUAGAACAGCGAUGGUUCCAUGACCACACUUAUGUGAUGAGCAUCCUUGUCUGAGACCUGAAGAGUUGCAUUGCAUGCAGGUAUACAUGCAUGUGUUCUGUCCCUGUCGGUCACACUUAAGAAUUGUCCCAGUGUUUUUUUUAGUCAGUAUGAUAUCAUUUAGCAUAUUUUCAUUUGAGAGGAAAGCAAGUUGAGAUCAUUGAUUCCGUGCACCUGUUGUUCUUUUGAGUUACACACAGUUAAUGUUAAAUAAUACAUACCAUCCUCCAGGUCUGUGGCGCAAACAUAUCCUGUAGCUGCGACAGUCCUACAAAUACAGGAAAUGACGUCAUUCGUAUUCACUGUUCUUAGUUAACAUGUCUCAACUAAAAGAAUCCCUGUCUAGUUUCAGGUCCACAAAGACACAAGGUAGAAAGAAGUGUUUCAACAAGGCUUGAACACAAUGAUCAUGUUCAUCCUCAUCCUGUGUGCCUUGUCAAGAGAGACCAUGGUCCAAACCACAGCCAAGAAGAUUUUUCCAGCAAAGAUCUAUUGGACUUCUACAGGAACGAUAGUGGAGGGAAGUGACCUUGUGGUAAAAUGUAGUACACAUGGGCGCAAGGAAGACAAAGUGGCAUAUGUUUACUUGUGCAUUAACGGGGUUGCAGUGGAACAGAAGAGAACUAUACAAGAAGACACCUCUUUCACCAUGAAAAGUGUUACUGGCCAACAGAGUGGCAAUUACAGCUGUGUGUUCUCUAAAACCCAAUAUCCACUCUCUGAAAUGCAGGGAAAAGGAGAUAAUUCCCUUUCCAUCCAGGUGAUGGACCGUAUACUCCCUGCAGACAUAUCACUUGCAGGCUCAAGAACUGUGAGAAAGGGAGAUGGUGUGGAGUUUAAGUGUACAAUCUCAGACCCAAGUUUUCAAACAAAAAAUACCAGUGACUUAGUUCACGCUUACCUCUGCAAGUAUGGCUCUGUUGUUCAGAUCCAGGUGUUUGACGUAAAGAGCACGGAGGUGACUUUUACGAUUAAAAGUUUUAAUAAGAAUGACGCAGGUAACUACAGUUGUGUGAUUGAUCUGCAAUCAAAAACCCUCAAAGAUAAAGACAGAACAUUAUAUGGAAAUAAUGCAGUAUUUCUACAGGUUAAUGUGUCCUGGAGUCACUUAAUCACACUCGUGUUCUGCGUCUGUUUUCUUCUGGUCUUAUCACUGAUAGUGGGCAUAUGGUGGCUGUUCAUUAAACAAGGAGCUUUACAAUGUUAUUGUGGAAGAACACCACAACAGGAGGAGAACGAUGCGCCAAUGACAGGGGAGGGUGACGACGGAACGUCAAACAUGGAGGAAGAAUCCAGUGAUGAAUUUGCCUGUGACAGUGAGGCCAGUGGGGAGGAGUACCAGAAUCUGGGUGAGAAAUGUUUAGGUAAUAUGAUGCUGCACAAACAUGUACUGCUUAUGAUGAAAAUUAAAAACGGGUAUGUUUUUUCAUUCUUACAUUUGCAAUACUGGGUAAAAAAAAAAGGAUAUUUAAAUACAUUGCUUUGUUAAGAAAAUAAGAUAUUUAAUCUUCUAAUCUCCCAAACAAAUGAUUUAAUGUACCAACAUGUGGGUGAGAAAUGCUUAGAUAAUGGUCAUGACUGAAAUAUUAUACCAGGCCCUGAGUGAAAAUAAUUAAUUGUUUUAACAUCUUCUAAUCAAGUGUUGAGAUUGAGACAUACCAUGAGCUGGGUGAGAAAUGCUUAGAUAUUAUGAAGCUUCAUAGAAAUUCAAUGAUUAUAUUGUGACAUUUACAGUACUGGGUGAAUGGUGAUCUAACAGAUUUCAGGGCCUUGGGUGAUUGUUUUUGCUAAAUAACUUGUUUUAAUGAUAUAUAUUUAACUUCCAUCAGAGGAUACCACCUACCAAGAAAUUCUGAUGCAGCAAAUAAAGGCCCAGAUGCAGAAGAUAUGUAUGCCAAGUCAUGCAAGAAGACCGGAC